CCUACGGGUGGCAGCAGUGGGGAAUAUUGGACAAUGGGCGAAAGCCUGAUCCAGCCAUGCCGCGUGUGUGAAGAAGGCCUUCGGGUUGUAAAGCACUUUCAGUGGGGAAGAAAGCCUUGGGGCUAAUACCCUCGAGGAAGGACAUCACCCACAGAAGAAGCACCGGCUAACUCCGUGCCAGCAGCCGCGGUAAUACGGAGGGUGCGAGCGUUAAUCGGAAUUACUGGGCGUAAAGCGCGCGUAGGCGGUCUGAUAAGCCGGUUGUGAAAGCCCCGGGCUCAACCUGGGAACGGCAUCCGGAACUAUCAGGCUAGAGUGCAGGAGAGGAAGGUAGAAUUCCCGGUGUAGCGGUGAAAUGCGUAGAGAUCGGGAGGAAUACCAGUGGCGAAGGCGGCCUUCUGGACUGACACUGACGCUGAGGUGCGAAAGCGUGGGUAGCAAACAGGAUUAGAUACCCGAGUAGUC
rnacentral:rRNA from 1 species